UACGAUUAAAUUGUUUCUCUAUUUACUAUAUGUAUUUUCGCCAUUGUUCAAUAUAGCACAUCUAAUGUUAUGAAUGUGUUAACUGAGAUUGUUUUUCCAAGCUGUUUGAAACUUACCAUUUUUUUAUGUUUUUUGGCACUCAGACUUAUCACGGCAAAACAUUUCUCGUUCGACGACCAAUGAAAACGUAGCAUUUCAAAUUCUCCUAUGCAAACGUACUUUGCCCCACCGCGGAGAAAGGUUUGUUGCCGUUUACAGAUCUGCAGUUACCGCCAGUUGCUCCAAUCUCUUCCAACUGAUGUCAGAGCCGAGUGCUUCGGUUGGUGUUUUAACGGCGCUUCGCUAUCAUGUUUGAAUCGUAGAAAACGUUGUUUUUCUCGCGUAACGUAAAUACACCAUCCUGUUUCUUAUAGCAAUCUGUCGUUUAUAUCUUGCUUUACAUUAUCAUCGAGUGUGUAAAAUUUCGUGAAGCGUAGCUCGUGUUGAUAUUUUAAAAAUAAUUAGAAAGCGUCGGUUGGAGAUUAGGACAGAUCCUUUUACCAUACAAUGGACCCCUUCACUCAGCGAAUGUUAGAACGUGCCAGAGCAAGGAGAGAAAAAUUAGAUACGCAAUUAUCAAAUGCAGGGCAUGAUGUCAAAAAGAGGCGUAGUCCUUUGAAGGAUGCAAAUGCUAUUUUAGCUCAGGCCAUAGUGAAGAGUAAAACUCCAACCAAAUCCCCUGCCAAAAUACCAGUGGAGACCACACCUGUAGCGAAGUCUCCAAGAAAAUCUGUAUCCAAAAAUUUUGUCAAUGAGAAUGAUGAACAGACAGAUAAAGAGAAUGGGGAGAUCGGUCUUUACAAUGUGAGGUCAAAGCUUCAAAGGCUUGGCAAACUAUAUUCAGAUGACAGUAGCAGAGAACUGAGUUCUCCUAUUCACAGAACAGAAGAGAAAUUUAGUGCAGAAGAAGAAGUCACUGAACAAAAAACACUUAAAAAAGGUGCUAGGCUUGACAGAUUAGCAGCUCUUGCCUCAACGAUUAAUAAUUGGGAGGAUGAUUUAUCACAUCCAACAUUGGUCAAACAAGUAGAUAGUAAAGUAGACAAAAUACAUGCAAAGAUAAAUGAACAAAUAAGAUCUGGUUCAGACCCUCAACCGAGUACAAGUGGAUACAACAAGGGGCAGAGAAAUAGCAAAGGGACAUGCUCUAAGAAUGAAGAAUCUUCAUCUACCAAGCAUUUGAAGUGGGAUAAAACUACACUGGAAACAUUGGAGGCUCAAGGCUUUAAUCGUACAAAAAGCAAUAGUCGCCUUGUAUAUGACUAUAAGGCUUGUUCUCAGGGCAAGGAUGCAGGAUCAUCACCUAAACAUCGGCAGAAUCAGCGGAAUGCCGUCCCGACGAUUGACGAAGAACGAAAUAUCAGAAAACCAGAUGAUUCUUCGAAAUUCACCAAUAACAAAAAUUCUAACACGCCGGAGAAAACCUCGAGAAACGCAACACCAAAUUCAAAUGGCACCCGAUUGACGCCUAGAUUCGGUUUCAAUGGCUCUCCCAAGAGUCCUAUUCAGUCCAGUCCAGGCUCAGUUUUGAGUAAAGCUUCGUUAUUUGAAUCUAAAAAUACAGAGUCAAAGGCGAAGGAUCCUAUCCAAAUGACGCUCUCCGAGAGGAUGGCACUUUUUGAGAGAAACAAAGGCGAGGCUCCAUUAUUGCCCAAGGCCCCCCUUACCAUGUCUGUACCGAUGAAAAAGUUACAAGAAAAAGAUAAGGGCGCCUCAGCAGCAACAAAUAGUGGAGCCAAGGAUCGUUCUAAAGCGGGCAUUUCUGGCAAUUCCGUUAUUGCUAGGCGAGAGAAAUUCGAACAAGGUUUAAACACGCAGGAAUUAGAGAACGAUAUUUUGCGUAAUACUCAUCAAGAACGACAACGUGAAUUAGAUAUGUUGCGUUUACGUUUCAACCGAAAUAAGGAAAUGGCGCAAGCAGCUGCUGGUUCGUGUAUCAGAACCAGCGAAAGCAGCGAAGGAAAAUCGAAUUCGCCUAAAAAUUCUCCGGUUUGCCCGGUGAAACCGACGCCGGCACCUGAUCAUGCUGUUCCACCUCCUCCGCCACCUCUUCCGCAGUUGAACGUUUCCAGCGAAAGACAAGCUUCAAAUCAGAAUAAUAAAAAUACGCCAACAAAAAGACAAGUUGUAGGAAGUCCGCCUAAAACGACACAGGUAAAAGCAGCUGCUUCUGAUAUUAAACGUAUUCGCGUUGCUGCACCUAAACCUGGGCAUCUGUAUCCCAAUCUUUCUGAAAUUGAAAGUACUGAAACCGAAACAGACACAGAAUAUACUAUCAACAGUACAGAGGCAGAAACUGCAACUUUAGAUGAGAAAACUGACACAGAAACGGGAACGGAAGUCGAGUAUUACGUGGAAGAUGAUGAAUCUCAGAUUGAUAGCGACAAUGAAGCUGAAGAUGCAAAUACUAGUCUUGGUCGGAGUAUUUUGCGCGUAGUGAACGAACAAGCUUUUCUGAAUAAAAAGAGAUCAAUUGAUCCGGAUCCGGAUAGUACAACUUCCGAUAUUUCCGUAUUGGAUGAAAUGGAUGAAUAUUUGGACGAGUGUCUUGCAUUGCAGGAAAUGAAGAAUAGAAAUGCGCGUACAGAAGAGGGUCCAACACCUCCUAAAUUGAAUAAAGCUGGGAAGAGUCCAUCAAUAGCUUCGACAAGCUUUAAAUAUAGUGAAGGGUCGCCGUAUCGUUCGCCUGUAAAAAAAGUCACGUCCCCUAAUCAAGGCGAGCCUUAUAUUAUAGAUGGUGACAAUUGUGUACCCUUAAUGCACAGUGUCAGCAUUUAUAGACGACAACAGUCGGAGACACCUAAAACGCCAGUACGUGUAAUAUCUAGAACGCAACAGCCAGCUGCGUGUAGUUCUGACGCGGGACAACUCGAUGAUAAGAACGAAGCAAUUUUGAUACAAGAAAAGGUGAAACGAUUGUUAGAUGAAAUAUGCAAACAACAGACGAUCAUCGGACAAGCUAGCCAGGCACUAAAUUUGUGCAAUUCUACCAUAGAGUUUAAUCAUUCCAGGGAGCAAAUUGAAGCAGAAAGAUUAUUGCUUUUGGCUACUCACAGGCGACAAGCUGCACUAAAUGAGGUACAACGAUUAAAAGUAGAAGGUACUUUAAAACCCGUUAGUCCUGGAUCUCCGGAAAUUCAAGAAAGUGCCUCAUUAACAGUUUCUGCUAUCACUUUGCCUCUUAAACGAGAUUACUGUCGUAAUAUGGAUACAAGUAUAUGUUUCCACUUCCUUUGUUUAAUGAAGCAUUUGGAAGAAAUAAUUGCUACUCCGGUAGUUACAGUAGAACCUGGCGACUCCUGCCUUCGAUUCCCAUCGACAUUAAAAUUGAAUGAUUUGAAUAAUGAUUUUAAAAUCACUAUCGAAAUAUAUUCACUGGAAAGUCAACCCGAAAUAUUACCACAUGAAAUUAAGUACCAUAUUAAUCAUGGCAAUGCAUGUAACAGUAGUAACAGCAAUUGUAACAAAAAACUGGUAAACAAAACUCCGAAAAAAUUUUUAAAACAAGAAAAUCGGUUGAUUAUGCCAAGUAUACAAAGCCCGGCUGGACCAUCUGCUGUUAGGUCUACAGUUUUUCAGCUGUCUGGUUACGUUAUUUUCAGUUUGAAAGAGAUACACCGGCAACAGUUCACACUUAACAAAGUACCAUCGCAGUCACCCCUGGAAGGACGAUUGCAAAUGCACGUUUCGUGUGAACUUUCGGUAUCGGUAGAGCACAGAGGGUUUCUUACAAUGUUUGAAGACGUAUCCGGAUUCGGUGCUUGGCACCGUAGAUGGUGUUUGCUCAAAGGCUCGACUUUGUCGUACUGGAAAUAUCCUGACGACGAACGAAAAAAGACUCCUAUCGGAAGUUUAGAUUUGCAAAACGUUAGUACAACAAAUGUGGGAUUAGUGUCUCGCGAUAUUUGCGCGCGGCCUCACACGUUUUUACUUGAAACGACCAGGCCCGCAGAACCCGAGGAUACCGAAAGUUUAAUUAUGGUCAGAAAUGGAUCAUUAAUGACAAUUAGGCAUCUAUUAUCAGCUGAUACAAAAGAAGAUAGAUUGGAAUGGUGUUCGAAACUUAACAAAACACUGAAUUUAAUCCACACUUGGGGCGGGCCACUGACGUUAUCGUAAUCUAAGAAAAAAGUAUAAGUAUCGUAGCGUACUAAAGUACGCUUAUUUAUUGAUACACUGCGUACAAUAUAACUACGCAAUGUAUACUUGUGUAUAUUAAAUACUGCAAUUAAUUAAAGUGUAAUUGAUAAUGUAUUAGCGAUAUUUGUGACAUCUGUAUGUUAUAAAUACAGAAAAUUUAAGAUAUAUUUACGAAAAAUUAACGUAUUCGUAGCAAAGAGGAAGGAGACAAUUAUUUGUUGCAUUUUACAAAUAAUACAAUUUCAAUCAUGGAUUAAUCUUAGGCGAAUAAUCAUAUUUUAAACCUUUAUCUAAAGGAAAAAACUUGGAUAUAGUUGAAUAUAUUUUACACAAAAGAAAUAUUCUUUAUAGAAAAUUAAUUUAGAAAUAAUCGAUAUACACUGUUUUACGAAUAAUCUGUUUUUUUUUUACAUAAUUCAAUAUUGAAAUGAAUUGAUGGCAAAGGAAUAAAUCUGAAAUGCUUGGAGAAAUCAAUUGUGUUUUAUCCUCCUGGAUAAAGAGCAGUUUCUUAAUGAAUUUUGUAAUAUUAAUAAUGUUAGGUAAAUGAUUAUGUAGUAGAAUCGUACACUUAUUAUAAUGCAUUCACAUAAAUUAAUACGAUUGUAGUAUUAAAGAGCUAACUAUCAUAAAACUGUUUAUUACAAAAGCGCGUUCGGAUUUUACCAUAAAUCUAAUUACAUAUUUUGGAAUAUUUACGUAAUUACAUUGUAAAUAGGCAGACAAUAGUUCAUAGUCACUAACAAAUACGUAGUUAAGUAUACAUAUCAUAUAUAAUGUUCUUAAUACAGCAUAAAGAUUUUGUAUUCUAUUAAAUUAUACUUUUUACUUUUCUGUAUAAAUGCUUUUCUUAUACCAUUGAUGUUACGUAUUUCAAAUAAAAUAUUCGCAGGCGGAAAAUCUUUUUCCUUCACUUACAUACUUGUCCGGCUACUGUUGGGAAAAAUUUUGAGGGGUGAUU